rnacentral:rRNA from 1 species
CCUACGGGUGGCAGCAGUGAGGAAUAUUGGUCAAUGGGCGCGAGCCUGAACCAGCCAAGUCGCGUGAGGGAAGACGGUCCUAUGGAUUGUAAACCUCUUUUGUCGGGGAGCAAAAGACGCCACGCGUGGCGUUCCGCGAGUACCCGAUGAAAAAGCAUCGGCUAACUCCGUGCCAGCAGCCGCGGUAAUACGGAGGAUUCGAGCGUUAUCCGGAUUUAUUGGGUUUAAAGGGUGCGUAGGCGGAAGAUCAAGUCAGCGGUAAAAGUGAGAGGUUCAACCUCGUCGAGCGGUUGAAACUGGGUUGCUUGAGUGAGCGAGAAGUAUGCGGAAUGCGUGGUGUAGCGGUGAAAUGCAUAGAUAUCACGCAGAACUCCGAUUGCGAAGGCAGCAUACCGGCGCUCAACUGACGCUGAUGCACGAAAGUGUGGGUAUCGAACAGGAUUAGAUACCCCUGUAGUC